UUCCGGUUGAUCCUGCCGGAGGUUACUGCUAUUGGAGUUCGAUUAAGCCAUGCGAGUCGAGAGUCUUCGGGACUCGGCAGACUGCUCAGUAACACGUGGAUAAUCUGCCCUUAGGCGGAGGAUAAUCUCGGGAAACUGAGAAUAAUACUCCAUAGGCCUAGGAUGCUGGAAUGCAUCUAGGCUGAAAAUUCCGGUGCCUAAGGAUGAGUCUGCGGACUAUCAGGUUGUAGUCAGGGUAAUGACCUGACUAGCCUACGACGGAUAUGGGUUGUGAGAGCAAUAACCCAGAGAUGAUAUCUGAGACACGAUAUCAGGCCCUACGGGGCGCAGCAGGCGCGAAAACUUCACACUGUGCGAAAGCACGAUGAGGGAAUCCCAAGUGCUUGCACGUAAGAGUAAGCUGUUUCUCUGUCUAAAACGCAGAGAGAGUAAGAGCUGGGUAAGACGGGUGCCAGCCGCCGCGGUAAUACCUGCAGCUCAAGUGGUGGCCGCUAUUAUUGGGCCUAAAACGUCCGUAGCCGGUUUAGUAAAUGCCUGGGUAAAUCGUGUAGCUUAACUAUACGAAUUCCGGGUAGACUGUUAGACUUGAGACCGGGAGAAGUUAGAGGUACUCCUGGGGUAGAGGUGAAAUUCUGUAAUCCUAGGGGGACCACCAGUGGCGAAGGCGUCUGACUAGAACGGGUCUGACGGUGAGGGACGAAGCCCUGGGGCGCAAACCGGAUUAGAUACCCGGGUAGUCCAGGGUGUAAACGCUGCUUGCUUGAUGUUAGUCGGGCUCCGAGCCCGAUUAGUGUCGGAGAGAAGUUGUUAAGCAAGCUGCCUGGGAAGUACGGUCGCAAGGCUGAACUUAAAGGAAUUGGCGGGGGAGCACAGCAACGGGUGGAGCGUGCGGGUUAAUUGGACUCAACGCCGGUAAUCUC
rnacentral:rRNA from 1 species